AGCAGCCACCUUUUAAAACGCGUCAAAGCGUAACCUAAACCCCCCAAAAUACCAUUAAUUUUCAUGAACCCCUAAUUUAUAAUGAAUGACUCCAUAUUUAUAUGGAAGACACCAUGCUAGGAUUAGUAACAAGAAUUUAUAAUUCUCCAAAAUGCAAAUAUAAACCAACAUGGAUAGACCAUUGGUAGUUACCGAACCUAAAUUUACUGCAAUAACACCCACAAGAAAACUCUGCAGUACUUACUCGUUAACCUAACACCAGCGCAUUACAGGAAAGAUUUAAAAAAAGAGAAGGAAUUCGGCAAAUGACGGCCCCGCCUGUUUACCAAAAACAUCGCCUCUUGACUUAUAAUAAGAGGUCCAGCCUGCCCAGUGAAUUUUAAACGGCCGCGGUAUCCUAACCGCGCGAAGGUAGCAUAAUCACUUGUUCUUUAAAUGGGGACUCGUAUCAACGGCAUCACGAGGGUUUUACUGUCUCCUCUUUUUGAUCAGUGAAAUUGAUCUUCCCGUGAAGAAGCGGGAAUAUUUUUAUAAGACGAGAAGACCCCAUGGAGCUUUAAACCAAAUAACAACUUAACUACUUAUCCCACAAUAAAUUUAAGCCCUGUUAUAAGGUUUUUGGUUGGGGUGACCGCGGAGUAAAGCACAUCCUCCACGACGAAAAGAACAUAAUCUUUAUUUAAGAACCACACUUCUAGAAAUUAGUAUACUAACGUUUACUGACCCGACAAUCGAUCAACGGACCAAGUUACCCUGGGGAUAACAGCGCAAUCUACUUCAAGAGCUCAUAUCGACAAGUAGGCUUACGACCUCGAUGUUGGAUCAGGGUAUCCCGGUGGUGCAGCCGCUACCGAAGGUUCGUUUGUUCAACGAUUAAAACCCUACGUGAUCU
rnacentral:rRNA from 1 species